UCUCCGUUGGUGAACCAGCGGAGGGAUCAUUACAGAGUUGCAAAACUCCCAACCCUUUGUGAACGAACCUGACAGUUGCUUCGGCGGGAGGCCCCUCAGGGUCUCGCCCCCCGCGGGCACCCCGCCGGAGUCCUACAAACUCUUGAUUAUUUUGGCAUCUCUGAGUAUCUUACAAAUAAGUUAAAACUUUCAACAACGGAUCUCUUGGUUCUG
rnacentral:misc_RNA from 1 species